ACUGUACUAAACUAACUAAAGUGGGGGAUAGUGAGGGGAUAAAUUUCCUUAAGGAACUCGGCAAAAUCCCAAUGGCCCACCAGGGCAUUAAACUUUUGUAGCAAGGUAUCAAGGUACCUUCUACGAAGGUGGGGACCUCCACCCUAACGGGUGGCGGUUCCUUGUAUUGGAACACGGGCCUCGACUGUUUACCAAAAACAUAGCCCUCGGCCAAUAUGAAAAUAGAAGUAUGGAGGGUGAGGCCUGCCCAAUGGUUGUAUCUAAAAGCGGCUGAUGAAAGUCGGUCUCGUAAGGACAAUUGAAUGGCCGCGGUAACACUGACCGUGAUAAUGUAGCGUAAUCAAUAGCCAAUUAAUUGUUGGCCAGUAUGAAUGGCGCCACGAAGGCCCCACUGUCUUAAGGAAAUUCCCAGUGAAAUUGAAUUCGUAGUGAAGAUGCUACGUCCAAUUUGUUAGACGAAAAGACCCCGUUGAGCUUUACUGGGGCACUUACACUGCCCCCGCCUGCGAGCUGAAUUGAAAUGGGUGGCUUAGACUAUGUGGCAGCCCCCCCCGUCGGGGCAGAUGAAACCCCACUCCCCCAUGUCAAAGGGGCUAACCCCCCCCCCUUGGGGGGCACAGUGUAAGUAGGACAGUUUGGUUGGGGCGACCGCCUUUUAGAGAGUAACGAAGGUGCGCUUAAGGUGCGCAAUUAAUGACUGAAGCCUGACUGCGAGGGGGACACCCCGAGCAGACACCCCCAAGCCCGCCCGCCCAGAAGGACAGAGACUUUGUCUCUGUGCCUUCUGGGAGGGCGGCGGUGGGGUGGGCCAUAGUGACCCGUUAAUUUAGAGUGGAAUAGUUAACGAUCAACGAAUAAAAGUUACCACGGGGAUAACAGCGUAAU
rnacentral:rRNA from 1 species